rnacentral:misc_RNA from 1 species
UGUAUGCUGGAGCAGCCCCCGAUUUGUGGGGUGAUUACAGC